GUUUUUCAAUUCAUCCUUUAAACAAAGUGAUGUAACCGUACAUUUACAAAAAAAAAAAACAACAAAAAAAAACAUUAGGCGUGAUGUUAUAAAAUCAUGAAUCCAUCCAUCUCGUCUUCGGUAUAAUUAUAAAAAAAGAACGAUGAAAAUCUUCCGUCUUUAUAUUGGAUACCUUAACUUCUCAACAUUCCGUAAAGUCACCGAUAUAAAGCAGUAUAGUCAAGGAUAUACUACUUACACAAACACUCUCCCAACAGAGUUAUAAAGAAGAACGACUGAGAUCAACAUUCCGUAUAGUCACCGAUAUAAAGCAGUAUAGUCAAGGGUAUGCUACUUACACAAACACUGCUCCAACAGAGUUAUAAAGAAGAACGACUGACAACGACAUUACGUACAUGUAUAGUCACCGAUAUAAAGCGUUAUCUUAAAGGAUAUACUACUUACACAAACACUGUUCCAUCAGAGUCAAAAGAAAAACGACGGAAAUCGACAUUUCGUAUAGUCAUCGAUAUCAAGCGUUAUCUUUAAGGUUAUGCUUCUUACACAAACACUGCUCCAACAGAGUUAUCAAGAAGAACGACAGAGAUUGACAUUCCAAUCUGAUUGUGACAUAUUACAGACAGCAGUCGUUAUUUAUAGCCAAAUUAUUAGAAAACAAAACAAC
rnacentral:lncRNA from 1 species